GGUGAUCCACAGAAGAUAGAGGACCAAACACUGAGGCUGGUGUUUGACACGGAAACGUUUGUUUGUGUUUUAAACAUGCUUUUAGCAACAUUUUAAACAAUGUUUUACAAGAUGUUUUAGGCAUUCAGCUGCUGAAGAAGAAAUUUGGAAUCAUCUUUCAACAUUAGAUUAGACAGGAGACUUAGUUAAUCCAAAGAAGCCACAUGCCAAAAUCGCUCUGAGGCCAGGCCAACAAAGUGACUGGUUGUGAGUAUGCCCAACGACCUUACCUAGGAGAAGAUACUACAUGGUAUCAGGCCUGAACCUUUAGCAAGCUUGAAGUAUUCUGCAUGGGAGGCCUAGACUUGGAGA